rnacentral:rRNA from 1 species
GACGAACGCUGGCGGCGUGCUUAACACAUGCAAGUCGAACGGAAAGGCCCGGCUUUUGUGGGGUGCUCGAGUGGCGAACGGGUGAGUGACACGUGAGUAACCUGCCCCUGACUUUGGGAUAACUUCAGGAAACUGGGGCUAAUACCGGAUAGGAGCUCCUGCUGCAUGGUGGGGGUUGGAAAGUUUCGGCGGUUGGGGAUGGACUAGCGGCUUAUCAGCUUGUUGGUGGGGUAGUGGCUGACCAAGGCUUUGACGGGUAGCCGGCCUGAGAGGGUGACCGGCCACAUUGGGACUGAGAGACGGCCCAGACUCCUACGGGAGGCAGCAGUGGGGAAUAUUGCACAAUGGGCGGAAGCCUGAUGCAGCAACGCCGCGUGCGGGAUGACGGCCUUCGGGUUGUAAACCGCUUUCGCCUGUGACGAAGCGUGAGUGACGGUAAUGGGUAAAGAAGCACCGGCUAACUACGUG